ACGGGUGAGUAACGCGUAGGAAUCUACCCUAAAGCGGGGGACAACCCGAGGAAACUCGGGCUAAUACCGCAUAAUCUCGAAAGAGUAAAGCUGGGGCAACCUGGCACUUUAGGAGGAGCCUGCGUCCGAUUAGCUAGUUGGUGAGGUAAAGGCUCACCAAGGCGAUGAUCGGUAGCUGGUCUGAGAGGAUGAUCAGCCACACUGGGACUGAGACACGGCCCAGACUCCUACGGGAGGCAGCAGUGGGGAAUAUUGGACAAUGGGGGCAACCCUGAUCCAGCAAUACCGCGUGUGUGAAGAAGGCCUUAGGGUUGUAAAGCACUUUAGUUGGGGAAGAAGAAUAGUUGUUUAAGAGAUGAUUAUUUUGACGGUACCCAAAGAAUAAGCACCGGCUAACUCUGUGCCAGCAGCCGCGGUAAUACAGAGGGUGCAAGCGUUAAUCGGAGUUACUGGGCGUAAAGGGCGCGUAGGUGGUUAUUUAAGUUUGAUGUGAAAGCCCUGGGCUUAACCUAGGAACUGCAUUGAAUACUGGGUAACUUGAGUACUGUAGAGGGUAGUGGAAUUUCCGGUGUAGC
rnacentral:rRNA from 1 species